AAACGUCAAACUGGUGGUGAUCAUGAAGGGUGAGGUGUUCUACAAAUAGGAAUUCCUAUCAAUCGGCGAGCAAUAUAACACGAGCAAUUUGAGAAAACAAUUUGAAGCUCUCGGCAAAAGGCAAGCUCAGAAGAAUCGUAUGAUCGAGUCUCCAUGAAUCGACCACAUCCUACUAAUAAAUGAAGACACCGAAAGACUUGGAGAAUCUCACGAAGACGAAGCUAAGGCGACGAAUCAAUUUAGCGACGAAAUUGCUCGACGAAGAUAUUUAGCUGCAACUGGCUUCGACCGCUGGUGUGGACAUUGGAUUCGGUCCAGAGUGCUCAAGAUGAGAGAGGAAGAUAUUUUUCUCGGUCUGUGCGCGUGCAUUCUUGCUUCGCUCGGUUCCUCAGCUCUCCCGCACGCACCAAGUGAGGGAGAAAGAGCACGAGAGAAGUUUCGAUUGGUGGUGAUGAGCGUCCGUUCUCUGCUCCGUCACUGCGGUUGCGGUUACUGGCGAGGGAGAUUUGACGGCGGUUGUCACCGAUCGGAGAUGGUACAGACAAUCGAUUGAUGGUGAUGGAGCCGUAAGGAAGUGGCAUCCUCAGUCGCAUUCUUUCAUGUUGUGUAUUUCACCAACUAUUUAUUUCCAUGAUUUAAUGAUUUAAAUAUUACGAAAUAACAUAAUUUUGACCAUUAUGUAACAAUAUAAUUUAAGUCAGUCACAUGACAUCACGUAUAACCUUUACGGUAGAUUUGAUUAUAUAAUUCUUUCGUUUGUUUAAGAUCACAUAUAUUUCAAACAAAGUAAGCAUGUAAAAGCAUUUUAAAUGAUUUUUAAUUACUAGAACAUUGUAUAAAUUUCUCAAAAUUUGUAGCAUUUAGUAUUAAAUGCUAAAAAAUUAGGAUUUAAAGCUAAAGCACAAUAAAACAAGACAAGAAGUAUAGCAAAAUGGUACUGUCAUGUUUAUUACAUGCAAAUAAUAUAUUUACUUUGUCCAACUUUCAAAAUAUCAAUUUCUUAUGUACAUGCACCAUCAUGAUAUUUGUUAGUAUGUAAAAUUUUUAAUCUCUUUUAGAAGGUAAGACAAUAAAUAGUAGAGAAUUCUUUUGUAUUCAUAUUUAAAAGAUAAUAUGUUAAUCGGUAACCUGCGAAUCAUCUUCAUUAUCUCAAGUUAUGAUUUCGUCCAUCUAUAGUUAUGUACGAGCAUAGUGUAUUUUAAUAUAUGCAUGGGGUAUCUAUAUAAUUUUUUUUUAUUUUUUGGCAAAAGCUCGAGAUGGAAAAGCUCAUUGGGUUUGCUCAAGUAACAAUACAAAUAGCAAUUUCUUUUUGUAAUGGUUCUUCAAUCGAAUGAUUUUUUUAACAAAAGAUAAAAAAGAAACACUAUCACUAAGGCGAGAAACUAGCCCAAAUAUAGAGAGGGAGGGAUUUUACCCGCCCCCAUUGGGCCACAAAAGGAAGAAAAAAUAGAAAUUGUAAAAAGAAAAAAAAAAGAUACACUUGCAACCCUUAUCCACGCACAUACUAUCAAUCACUCACACACAUUCACCCAAACCCUAAUAAAAAUAACUUGGAAAUGACUCCGAAUAUUUUCGCAAAACCUUUGCUUUACCUCCCGCAGCACCCCCAUGUUGAAGACACAUGAGCCAGGCAUGAUGCCCCUCUUCUAAUAUAUUGAGUCUCUCCCUCCAUGCAUAUCUUUGAGUCUCUUGCACCAAUCCUUCCAUCCGCUCCCCUCAUAGUACAUGGAUCCUCCUUAUCCUCAAGGAGUGACAAAUCCUUCCAUCCGCCAUCUGUGCCACGUAAACUAUGGAUCCUUACUAUUCUCAAAGAGUGAAGCCGGAUCCAUUAAGCAAUUCUUUUCAAUCUCAACCUUUAAAGCAUCCUCUAGAGGAUUGGAUUGCAACACAUAUCCCAACUUUUUAACGGUUGCACCCGCUAUUCUAAUAUUAAGGCUAAAUAUCAGAUAACUCUCGUCAAAUUGACCAAAGUCGACUGCUCCCUCCAAUAAUCCCCACAGCGCAUUUGUUUUGAAAAAUUGAAACCACAUGUGAUCCGUAUCAAAUGAACCGAGAGUUCCCGAUACCUCAUUCCACCUUUGGUCGUUGACAUGUUGUACGAUGUCGAAAGAUACUUCCUUUUCUCCAUUCUCUACAUCAAAGACAACAUAGAGAAAAAAUCCUACGAACUUGUUGUACAAGUCUUGCAAAGCCUUGAAAGAUAUACUACUGUCUUCAACAAGGACGAACCCCUUUGGCAUCUCUCUUCUGGGGCUAACAUCCCAUGAUAANNNNNNNNNNNNNNNNNNNNNNNNNNNNNNNNNNNNNNNNNNNNNNNNNNNNNNNNNNNNNNNNNNNNNNNNNNNNNNNNNNNNNNNNNNNNNNNNNNNNUUGUCGAGGCGGUGUCACGGCGCGCUCGGAUCACACUCAGAGAAGUAAAAAAUCAAAACCACAACAAGAUUACCUUCUGAAAUGGUACAUAACAAGAACUUCACCAAUUUCCAAAUACCAACAGAAACUUGCACCCAUGCUCUGUUGUCUCUCUUGCGAUCUGUUAGGCUCAAUAACAGUCUUCCACUGAGUAGUAUUUUUAAGAGUUAACUUCAACUUUACAUCCAUAGUUGGUACUAUUAAACCUGUGAUGAACAUAAGUCCUUACCAUAUCAAUAUAAAAACGAACAACUUAGCAGGUUUGGGAAGAAGAAAAAAAAUACAUGCUAGUGGGUGUGUACCAAGAGGAUGAGAUUAAAAUUGACUCUGCCGCCCAAGCACAAUAAGAACAAUUCUUAUCCUACAAGACACGAUCACAUUAUGCCAGUUUUAUUCCAGCAUUACUCCGAGGGAUAGCAGCAAUCCUCCAAAAAAACUUAUACACGAAAUUGUAUAUGGAAUAUCCUGAUCCAUCUAAAUUGACCCAAGCAUUGAUUUAAUAGUAGUCAAGACAUUUAAACCCAUAGUUUUGGUUUUUUUUUUUUUUUUGGGAGGAGGGGGUGCUUUGAAGCUGGUUCAUUUAGGCAAAAUCACAAACACCUGACGGACGUCAAGCAGUAGGGUUUCUUUAGACGAAAUAGAGAGGGGACAAGCAAUGGCAGUGGGAGAUAAUCUUGUUCACGCAGCUGUUAAUAGCUAUGGAAGCUCUAUACUCUCGCUCUACACCCAAGCCAUCAUUCUAAAUUCAUGGAUGAUCUUGCUCCAUUCUUACCUUGUGGACUUUCGGACAAAACAGAGCAGUCCAAAGAGAGUCUCACCCUCACUCUCCGCCUCAUCAAUCUUCAUUUCCUUCGUGGCAAUCCAUUUUCUCCUUGUAAUUGUGCCCCAGCCUUUGAUCAAGAGUGAAGCAAAACUCACUACUGCAAAAAAACUCCUUGAAGAAGACGAGAGGAUAGAGUACCACAGUUGUAAAGGAGUUAAAAUAAAAUUAGGUUGUUUUGAUAUCUCAAUUGGCUAUAAAAAUUCAAGAACUAAUGGUACAUUAUAAAACCAAAAUACCUUUUUAUCUAACUUCUCCUUUUCUAAUUUGAGAAAACGUAAUAUAGAGUGUCAUUUAAUAAAACUAACAGAUGGACAAUCUUUAUAUAUCAUCUGUUUACUCCACUCAUAUAAUAACUAUUGAAUCGAUUUUCCAAGAAUGUCAUUAUCAGAGUCAUGGAAGGUAUCAAUCGAACACACCCCCAUGACAUGAAGCAAGCUUGCUCUCUCAUAUUUUCAUGUUGAUCAGGCCAAAAGAUACUAAUAUUCAUAUUGAGAAUUUUUGGAUUUAUGAGUUGAGUAAGAAUUAAGUCUAUGCUUUUACCAAAAAAAAAAGAAAAAGAAUUCAGUCUAUGCACCGAAAUCCCGCAAAGAAAAUUCCAAUUUGUUAUCACCAAAUUUAGGUCUAGUACACUGCUCUUCUUAAUAUCAAUCGGGAAAAGCAGAAACUACGGAUUUCGCAUAUGAAAUUAGCAAGCAGACAUGUAAUAAAUUCUUCUAGAGCCAGCUCAGUUUGGUAUAUGUAGAUUCAGCAUAUUCCUUCAGUUCAAGAAUCAUUACUCUUAUUGAAUACCAUAUGGGGUCGAAAAGCAAGUACAUAUUUAUAUACCACAAAUCUCAUUGAAAAAUCAUUAUUUAUUAUGUAAGAUGUCAAGCAUGAGAUACGUGUACAAAUGACAUCAUGCAUGUGCAUCGAAUAUGGAUUGACAUUUGUGUACAAUGCGAACAAAAUGGCACACGUGACAAAGUGUGACGCCGUGGGAGCCACCUCUUGAACCUUGUUAGGAUAAACUGUCGCAUGGUGGGAGCCACCUCUUACACCGAUGGCGUCUAACUUUAGAAUCCUAUUAUAGUGCGAUCACUUGUGCACAUCAGCAUAUUUAGCUGUACGAUACUGUUGUAGCAAAUCUGCUCAAUGUAAGUUGAUUAGACUGUCAAGCAAUUGGGAAAACAAAUUACAAGCUUACUUUCUGAUUCUAGCUUGGCUCUAAAGUGAUUAAACUGUCCACAAACAAUUUUUCCAAAGAUGGCUUUGAUGGUGUGGGUGUAUGAGUGCUAGCUCCCAGAAGCAAUGGAUGAAAUUAUUUGACGGAAAUCGAUCUAAAUGACAGGAAUAGCAAAUUGCUCAAAAAUUAAAGUGGAAGUACUAUGAAUUAUUUAAAGGUGUAACGCAGGAAAUAAAGGAAAUCAAAGCAAAGAACACUAAACUCAAAGGCAUGAGCCGAACGAAAUUAACAGAAAACAAGAUUACUAGGACAUUGACAUUGCCGGAUUUGAAAUUAAUGACGGUUUGUACAAAUGACGCUCGAAUGGAGACAUUGAAAUCAACGUUACCACAAUACUCAAAGGGAAAUCAACAAUAAUUUUGGCAGGGUUCCAGCAUAAUUUCAACUUAUCUUUUUCCUCUGCAUAACUUCUAUUCAUAAGUCUUAAAUUCCCUUUGAUUAUCACUAGGUUGAUGUCCAUUUCUUAACUUAACUUCUUUUAUAUAUCCAUGAUUUCUUAACUUAACUGCUUUCAUAUAUCCAUAAUUUCUCAACUUAACUAAACUUCCGAUACCUGAGCAUUUCUUGUACCGUUUCGGCUUAUUUUGAAUUUAAAUUAAGUUGAAGACUCUCUUCCUCAAACUUUAGUGGAAUGGUCUUUUAGGAGCAUAAAAACGAGAUGAACUUGUUAUAGUUUGGCUGUGAUUUAUUCACCACCGAUGUAUAGUGACUUACUGUCAUACCAGACGACAAUUUAGUCACACAACCAAAUGAGACAAAGUUAACCAAAGCACCAAGGGAAAGAGAACUCUCUGCCAUCAAAGGAUGAAGCAUCAAAAUUCACAAUAUAUGAUCAGCAUGUCAAACAAGAACAUCCAGAUCACGCUAUGCAAUCUCAGAUUGAUCGAUGAUGAAGACAAAUUCGUCAUUAGCAUCUCUGAGGCAAAACGUCAAACUGGUGGUGAUCAUGAAGGGUGAGGUGUUCUACAAAUAGGAAUUCCUAUCAAUCGGCGAGCAAUAUAACACGAGCAAUUUGAGAAAACAAUUUGAAGCUCUCGGCAAAAGGCAAGCUCAGAAGAAUCGUAUGAUCGAGUCUCCAUGAAUCGACCACAUCCUACUAAUAAAUGAAGACACCGAAAGACUUGGAGAAUCUCACGAAGACGAAGCUAAGGCGACGAAUCAAUUUAGCGACGAAAUUGCUCGACGAAGAUAUUUAGCUGCAACUGGCUUCGACCGCUGGUGUGGACAUUGGAUUCGGUCCAGAGUGCUCAAGAUGAGAGAGGAAGAUAUUUUUCUCGGUCUGUGCGCGUGCAUUCUUGCUUCGCUCGGUUCCUCAGCUCUCCCGCACGCACCAAGUGAGGGAGAAAGAGCACGAGAGAAGUUUCGAUUGGUGGUGAUGAGCGUCCGUUCUCUGCUCCGUCACUGCGGUUGCGGUUACUGGCGAGGGAGAUUUGACGGCGGUUGUCACCGAUCGGAGAUGGUACAGACAAUCGAUUGAUGGUGAUGGAGCCGUAAGGAAGUGGCAUCCUCAGUCGCAUUCUUUCAUGUUGUG
rnacentral:lncRNA from 1 species